GACGAACCGAGCGAACGUUGUUCGGAAUCACUGGGCUUAAAGGGCGCGUAGGCGGGUGCUCAAGUCCGGGGUGAAAUCCUCCAGCUCAACUGGAGAACUGCCUCGGAUACUGGGCGUCUCGAGUGUGGUAGGGGUGUGCGGAACUAUCGGUGGAGCGGUGAAAUGCGUUGAUAUCGAUAGGAACUCCGGUGGCGAAGGCGGCGACACUCGGACCACCACUGACGCUGAUGCGCGAAAGCCAGGGAGCAAACGGG
rnacentral:rRNA from 1 species